GAUGAACGCUGGCGGCGUGCCUAAUACAUGCAAGUCGAACGCGAGAGGAGGGAGCUUGCUCCCUCUGAUCGAGUGGCGGACGGGUGAGUAACACGUAGGCAACCUGCCCAUCAGUCCGGGAUAACCGCGGGAAACCGUGGCUAAUACCGGAUGAUCCUCUCCACCGCGGGGUGGGGAGUUGAAAGACGGUUUCGGCUGUCGCUGAUGGUCGGGCCUGUGGCGCAUUAGCUGGUUGGCGGGGUAACGGCCCACCAAGGCAACGAUGCGUAGCCGACCUGAGAGGGUGAUCGGCCACACUGGGACUGAGACACGGCCCAGACUCCUACGGGAGGCAGCAGUAGGGAAUCUUCCGCAAUGGACGCAAGUCUGACGGAGCAACGCCGCGUGAGUGAAGAAGGGUUUCGGCUCGUAAAACUCUGUUGUUAAGGAAGAACGACAGGUAGAGUAACUGCUACCUGUGUGACGGUACUUAACCAGAAAGCCACGGCUAACUACGUGCCAGCAGCCGCGGUAA
rnacentral:rRNA from 1 species